GGCGCUAUAGCCAAGUGGUUACGGCGACAGAUUAGAAUAUCGACCAUAGGAGGUUGGAUAUGAGAUCUAUCUGUUCCUCUUUGAGGGCGCAGGUUCGAAUCCUGCUGGCGUCG